rnacentral:rRNA from 1 species
AGAUUAAGCGUGUUGUGAAAUGUAGACGCUCAACGUCUGCACUGCAGCGCGAACUGGUUUCCUUGAGUACGCACAAAGUGGGCGGAAUUCGUGGUGUAGCGGUGAAAUGCUUAGAUAUCACGAAGAACUCCUAUUGCGAAGGCAGCUCACUGGAGCGCAACUGACGCUGAAGCUCGAAAGUGCGGGUAUCGAACAGGAUUAGAUACCCUGGUAGUCCGCACGGUAAACGAUGGAUGCCCGCUGUUGGUCUGAAUAGGUCAGCGGCCAAGCGAAAGCAUUAAGCAUCCCACCUGGGGAGUACGCCGGCAACGGUGCAACUCAAAUGAAUUGACGG